UUUCCGUAGGUGAACCUGCGGAAGGAUCAUUAAUGUGUUUGGGCCUCACGGCUCUUCAUUCCGACGCUGUGCGCCUUCGGGCUGCACGCUGAGGGAGCAUAUAUCCACCCCUGUGCACACACACGGUGGCGAGCUGGGUAACGGCUCGCCGCUGAUCUUUACACACGUCUAAAAGUCAUUGUAUGUUUAUUUGAGAUGAAAACACAACUUUCAGCAACGGAUCUCUUGGCUCUC
rnacentral:misc_RNA from 1 species